UACAGAGGUCUCAAGCGUUGUUCGGAUUUACUGGGCGUAAAGCGCACGUAGGCGGACUCUUAAGUCGGGUGGUGAAAUCCUGGAGCUCAACUCCAGAACUGCCUUCGAUACUGAGAGUCUUGAGUCCGGGAGAGGUGAGUGGAACUGCGAGUGUAGAGGUGAAAUUCGUAGAUAUUCGCAAGAACACCAGUGGCGAAGGCGGCUCUCUGGGACGGUAC
rnacentral:rRNA from 1 species